rnacentral:rRNA from 1 species
GCCCCCCGAAUUGUAGUCUAGAAAGGCGCCAUCGGCCGUGUCCGUCGCUAAAAUCCCUUGGAACAGGGUAUCGGAGAAGGUGAGAAUCCUGUGACGUGGCGGAUCGCGGCCGCACGAUGCGUUCUUGCAGAGUCGGGUUGCUUGGGAUUGCAGCUUGAAUUGGGAGGUAAAUUCCUUCUAAAGCUAAAUAUUGCAGCGAGACCGAUAGCGAACAAGUACCGUGAGGGAAAGAUGCAAAGAACUUUGAAAAGAGAGUUAAAGAGUGCUUGAAACCGACAAGAGGAAACCCGGUUGCGCCCGGUUUCGUGCCUUCGACUCAGCCGCGUUUGUGCGCGGUGCACUUCUAAGGCAUGGGUCAGGCGCCUCUCUGCGGGAGGCAUAUUCGCUCAGUAGGCCUUCGGGGAGCUGAGUCUUUACCUCGCGCGGGGCGCCGCCUGACAUAACGGGCGCCACCGACCCGUCUAGAAACACGGACCAAGGAGUCUGACAUGGACGCGAGUACGUGGGUGUUAAGCCUAUGUGCGCAAUGAAAGUGAAGGGCGUGCCCCGCCAACCGACCUUGAUCUGCUGUGAAGGGUUUGAGUGGAGCGUUCCUGUCGGGACCCGAAAGAUGGUGAACUAUGCCUGAGUAGGUUGAAGUCUGCUGAAAGGCAGAUGGAGGGCCGUAGCGAUACUGACGUGCAAAUCGUUCGUCUAACUUGGGUAUAGGGGCGAAAGACUAAUCGAACCAUCUAGUAGCUGGUUCCCUCCGAAGUUUCCCUCAGGAUAGCUUGAACGCCGACGGUUUUGU